rnacentral:rRNA from 2 species
CCUACGGGCGGCUGCAGUGGGGAAUCUUGGACAAUGGGCGCAAGCCUGAUCCAGCCAUGCCGCGUGAGUGAAGAAGGCCUUCGGGUUGUAAAGCUCUUUUGUCAGGGACGAUAAUGACGGUACCUGAAGAAUAAGCCCCGGCAAACUUCGUGCCAGCAGCCGCGGUAAUACGAAGGGGGCUAGCGUUGUUCGGAAUUACUGGGCGUAAAGCGCACGUAGGCUGAUAGUUAAGUGAGGGGUGAAAUCCCGAGGCUCAACCUCGGAACUGCCCUUCAUACUGGCUAUCUCGAGUCCGGAAGAGGUUAGUGGAAUUCCCAGUGUAGAGGUGAAAUUCGUAGAUAUUGGGAAGAACACCAGUGGCGAAGGCGGCUAACUGGUCCGGUACUGACGCUGAGGUGCGAAAGCGUGGGGAGCAAACAGGAUUAGAUACCCCAGUAGUC